rnacentral:lncRNA from 10 species
GCAGACGUCUCUUCAAAAGGAAGCAGUAGAUUGGGGGCACCAUUGCCUCCAAGGCUGUGUGCAUUGACACCAAAGACAGUUCCCUCUCACACUCACCGCAAAGGUCUGCAGCUUCACUCCUGAAGACAGCGAGACCACGAACCCACCAGGAGGAACGAACAACUCCAGACGCACCGCCUUAAGAGCUGUAACACUCACUGAGAAGAUCUGCAGCUUCACUCCUGAGCCAGCGAGACGACGAACCCACCAGAAGGAAGAAACUCCAGACGCGCCACCUUAAGAGCUGUAACACCCACCGCCGGGGUCCGCGGCUUCAUUCUUGAAGAAGGAGGCUUUGGAUUGGGAAGAAGAGCGGCAAUGAGAUAUAGCUGUAGUCCAGGAAUAGUCAGGGAAGCAGAUAAUUUAGUUAAAGUGUCUCAGCCUAAUAAGGGAACUGGGCAGGUGGGGAUAACUAAAAAGGAGUGCUUAAAAGAGUAUUGUCUAAGUUGGCACCAGAGUUGGGGAGUUUUAAGAGGUUUAGAAGCCUGGCCGUCAAUACCCACAACAGUUAUGGAGGCAAGGGAAACAGGCCCUGGAAAAGAAGGUAAUGUGGAGUGAGUAGCCUCCGUAUUGAUUAAGAAGGGGACAGGCUUACCUUCCUCUGUGAGAGUUACCCGAAGCUUGCCAUCCGUGAUGGUCUAGGGGGCUUCCGAGGUGAUCGGGCAGUGUCAGUCUUCAGCCGGUAAGCCAAGAAGGAGUCAGAGAGCCUAGGGCCAGAGUUCCAGGAGCUCUGGGAGUGGCUGCCAGGUGAGUUGAACAGUCCGAUUUUCAGUGGGGUCCCACACAGAUGGGACGCGGCUUAGGAGGAAUCCCGGGCUGCGGGCGUUCCUUGGCCCAGUGGCCAGAUUUCCGGCAUGUGUAGCAAGUUCCUGGGGGAGGAGGUUCUGGAGGAAUGCCUGACUGCUACAGUUCAGGCGUUUGGAAGUUCUUGUGUGCUGGAGAUGUGGCUGGGGUUUGUCUCACAGUGGAGGUAAGGAAUUGCAACUUUUUUCUGUUAUUGCACACCUUGAAGGUGAGGUUAAUUAAGUCCUGUUGUGGGGUUUGAGGGCCAGAUUCCAGUUUUUGGAGUUUUAUUUAAUGUCGGGAGCAGACUGGGUAAUAAAAUGUAUAUUGAGAAUAAGACGGCCUUUUGACCUUUUAGGGGCUAGGACUGUAAAGUGUCUCAGGGUUGCUGUCAAACGAGCCAGCCAGGAGUCGAACCUGAGUGGAUUGGGUGAUAAAAUGCAUAUUAAGAAUAAGGUGGCCUUCUGGCCCCUCUGGGUCUAGGGCGGUAUAGCGUCUAAAGGUUGCUGCUAAGCAGGCCAUGAACUGGGCUGGAUUUUCAUCUUUACCUUGGGUGGUUUCUUUAAGUUUGUUGUAAUUAACAGCUUUGUAAGCUGCUUUUUUAAGCCCUUCAACUAGGCAGGAAACCAUGUAAUCUUGCCUAGCUAUACCUGGGGAAUUUGCCUGGUAGUUCCAUUGGGGAUCCUUUUGGGGAACUGCUCUAAUGCCUUCCUGGAGGUCUGGCUCAUGAAGCCGGCAGUUAUCAGCAUGAGAUUGGGCUAGAGAAAAAACUCUUUCCCGUUCAUCUGGGGAGAGGGUAGAAGUCAGGAUGACACUUA